UCCCUCUCGGGGUCACACCUGGAGAGCUCCUGGUACUCUACCAGUCUUGACUACAGGAGGGAGUGAAGCAGAUGCAAACCCAUUCCAUUCCGAGUUUGGGCAGUGACUAAUGAGUGGAAGGCAAUCUGCUACAAGU